UACGGAGGGGGCUAGCGUUGUUCGGAAUUACUGGGCGUAAAGCGCACGUAGGCGGCUUUGUAAGUUAGAGGUGAAAGCCCGGGGCUCAACUCCGGAAUUGCCUUUAAGACGUGCAUCGCUAGAAUUGUGGAGAGGUAAGUGGAAUUCCGAAGUGUAGAGGUGAAAUUCGUAGAUAUUCGGAAGAAACACCAGUGGCGAAGGCGACUUACUGGACAC
rnacentral:rRNA from 1 species